GUAGGUGGCAAGCGUUGUCCGGAGUUAUUGGGCGUAAAGCGCGCGCAGGCGGUUCUUUAAGUCUGAUGUGAAAGCCCACGGCUCAACCGUGGAGGGUCAUUGGAAACUGGAGAAAUUGAGUACAGAAGAGGAAAGCGGAAUUCCACGUGUAGCGGUGAAAUGCGUAGAGAUGUGGAGGAACACCAGUGGCGAAGGCGGCUUUCUGGUCUGUAACUGACGCUGAGGCGCGAAAGCGUGGGGAGCAAACAGGGAUUAGAUACCCUGGUAGUCCACGCCGUAAACGAUGAGUGCUAAGUGUUAGGGGGGUUUCCGCCCCCUUAGUGCUGCAGCUAACGCAUUAAGCACUCCGCCUGGGGAGUACGGCCGCAAGGCUG
rnacentral:rRNA from 1 species